rnacentral:rRNA from 1 species
AAGGAGAAGUCGUAACAAGGUUUCCGUAGGUGAACCUGCGGAAGGAUCAUUGCCGUCUCUAGAACCACCACCGGCGAACCACAGUCCCCGCGGAAAGGCCGCUCGCGGCGCGCGGCCCGGGGGAGGACCCCCGGGGACGCGCGUCCCGGCGAGCCCCGAACAACCCUCUGGGCGCGGCGAGCGCCAAGGAAUCGAAGCGGAAAGGGCGGCCGCCCCGCCCGGCGCGGGCACGCCCCGAAAGGGGAUGCGGCGCCGCGGCGGGGGAUCCGCCGCCCGUCUGUGAAUCUCUGAGACGACUCUCGGCAACGGAUAUCUCGGCUCUCGCAUCGAUGAAGAACGUAGCGAAAUGCGAUACUUGGUGUGAAUUGCAGAAUCCCGUGAACCAUCGAGUCUUUGACGCAAGUUGCGCCCGAGGCCGCCCGCCCGAGGCCACGCCCGCCUGGGCGUCACGCCACCCAUCGCCCCCCGGCGGCAUUCCCAUGCACGGCCGGGGAGCGGAGACUGGCCGUCCGUGCCCGAGCCCUCGGCGCGCGGUCGGCAGAAAAGGAGGGCACCGUGCGGCGCGACACGGCGUGUGGGGGUUGAGAGGCGAUUCGUCGCCGACCGUACGUCGCGCCGGCAUUCCGCCGCGCGGUCUCGCCCGUGGGACCGGACUCCGCCCGCAGCCGCGGGCGCUCGGACCGCGACCCCAGGUCAGGCGUGGCCACCCGCUGAAUUUAAGCAUAUCAAUAAGCGGAGGAGAAGAAACUUACGAGGAUUCCCC